rnacentral:tRNA from 1 species
AGGGGCGGAUGUAGCCAAGUGGAUUAAGGCAGUGGAUUGUGA